CCAAAGGCUCUUUUCAGAGCCACCACAUAUUUGCACUGAAAGACCU
rfam:Dipodomys ordii contig_75934, whole genome shotgun sequence.